CCUGGGAAUUGCAUUUGAAACUGGAAAACUAGAGUGUGUGAGAGGGGGGUAGAAUUCCAAGUGUAGCGGUGAAAUGCGUAGAGAUUUGGAGGAAUACCAGUGGCGAAGGCGGCCCCCUGGCACAACACUGACGCUCAGGUGCGAAAGCGUGGGGAGCAAACAGGAUUAGAUACCCUGGUAGUCCACGCCGUAAACGAUGUCUACUAGCUGUUCGUGGUCUUGUACUGUGAGUAGCGCAGCUAACGCACUAAGUAGACCGCCUGGGGAGUACGGUCGCAAGAUUAAAACUCAAAUGAAUUGACGGGGGCCCGCACAAGCGGUGGAGCAUGUGGUUUAAUUCGACGCAACGCGAAGAACCUUACCUACUCUUGACAUCUAGCGAAGAUUGUAGAGAUACGAUUGUGCCUUCGGGAACGCUAAGACAGGUGCUGCAUGGCUGUCGUCAGCUCGUGUUGUGAAAUGUUGGGUUAAGUCCCGCAACGAGCGCAACCCUUAUCCUUAGUUGCCAGCACGUAAUGGUGGGAACUCUAGGGAGACUGCCGGUGAUAAACCGGA
rnacentral:rRNA from 1 species